GUGGAUUUAAUCUCAAGAAACCACUUUCUUUGCUCAUUCGUAAGGAGCAACUCCUCAUCUGUUAAAAUUUUAUUGUGAGAUUGCAGCAAUUCAGUCACACCUUCAGGCUCCACGUCUGAUUCUAGUUCUCUUGCUGUUUCCACCACAUCUGCAGUUACUUCCUCCACUGAAGUCUUGAACCCCUGAAAGUCUUCCAUGAGAGUUGGAAUCAGCUUCUUCCAGGCUCCUGUUAAUGUUGGCUACCAGGAGAAGACAGCUAUCUGCAAAACGGGAAGAGGGCCUUCACCAGAUACCAGAUCUGCCAGUUGCUGAGCUUGGACUUCCCAGUCUCCAGGGCUAUG
rnacentral:lncRNA from 1 species